rnacentral:sRNA from 1 species
CCGAGGGUUAUCAUCCCCGGCUAUAUGAUUCCGCCGCUCCGCGGCU